GGCACUAGAAGCCGAUGAAGGACGUUACUAACGACGAUAUGCUUUGGGUAGCUGUAAGUAAGCGUUGAUCCAGAGAUUUCCGAAUGGGGGAACCCAGCAUGAGUUAUGUCAUGUUAUCGACAUGUGAAUUCAUAGCAUGUCAGAAGGCAGACCCGGAGAACUGAAACAUCUUAGUACCCGGAGGAAGAGAAAGAAAAAUCGAUUCCCUGAGUAGCGGCGAGCGAAACGGGAAGAGCCCAAACCAACAAGCUUGCUUGUUGGGGUUGUAGGACACUCUAUACGGAGUUACAAAAGAACAUGUUAGACGAAUCAUCUGGAAAGAUGAAUCAAAGAAGGUAAUAAUCCUGUAGUCGAAAACAUAUUCUCUCUUGAGUGGAUCCUGAGUACGACGGAGCACGUGAAAUUCCGUCGGAAUCUGGGAGGACCAUCUCCUAAGGCUAAAUACUCUCUAGUGACCGAUAGUGAACCAGUACCGUGAGGGAAAGGUGAAAAGUACCCCGGAAGGGGAGUGAAAGAGAACUUGAAACCGUGUGCUUACAAGUAGUCAGAGCCCGUUAAUGGGUGAUGGCGUGCCUUUUGUAGAAUGAACCGGCGAGUUACGAUCUGAUGCAAGGUUAAGCAGCAAAUGUGGAGCCGCAGCGAAAGCGAGUCUGAAUAGGGCGUUGAGUAUUUGGUCGUAGACCCGAAACCAGGUGAUCUACCCUUGGUCAGGUUGAAGUUCAGGUAACACUGAAUGGAGGACCGAACCGACUUACGUUGAAAAGUGAGCGGAUGAACUGAGGGUAGCGGAGAAAUUCCAAUCGAACUUGGAGAUAGCUGGUUCUCUCCGAAAUAGCUUUAGGGCUAGCCUCAAGUGAUGAUUAUUGGAGGUAGAGCACUGUUUGGACGAGGGGCCCCUCUCGGGUUACCGAAUUCAGACAAACUCCGAAUGACAAUUAAUUU
rnacentral:rRNA from 1 species